AAGAUCAUACUUCACAGGAUCAUUUCUGUAGUAUAUCUUCACAGACUCUCUACCCAAAGUAGGAGUCGAUGCAACCACGAUGAGGAGACGUAGCUCUCCUUCCUGAGCGUGAGGACGACUCGGAAUUGCGGCUUCGGUCGGAAUACCAGUCAUCGAUGAUCGUUCACCUUCUGCACUUUGUGCAGAAGGCAUGGGAGGACGGGCUUUCUGAGUGGC
rfam:Nasonia vitripennis chromosome 2, whole genome shotgun sequence.